rnacentral:rRNA from 1 species
AGUGAACGCUGGCGGUAGGCCUAACACAUGCAAGUCGAACGGCAGCACAGUAAGAGCUUGCUCUUACGGGUGGCGAGUGGCGGACGGGUGAGGAAUACAUCGGAAUCUACUUUUUCGUGGGGGAUAACGUAGGGAAACUUACGCUAAUACCGCAUACGACCUACGGGUGAAAGCAGUGGAUCUUCGGACCUUGCGCGAUUGAAUGAGCCGAUGUCGGAUUAGCUAGUUGGCGGGGUAAAGGCCCACCAAGGCGACGAUCCGUAGCUGGUCUGAGAGGAUGAUCAGCCACACUGGAACUGAGACGCGGUCCAGACUCCAACGGGAGGCAGCAGUGGGGAAUAUUGGACAAUGGGCGCAAGCCUGAUCCAGCCAUACCGCGUGGGUGAAGAAGGCCUUCGGGUUGUAAAGCCCUUUUGUUGGGAAAGAAAAGCAGCAGGUUAAUACCCCGCUGUUCUGACGGUACCCAAAGAAUAAGCACGGGCUAGCUUCGUG